GGGUGCGCAGGCGCAGGCCUAGGAGCCGCAAGUCAAGCACCGGGUGGCAGAGCAACUGGCCCGGGCCGUGGAAAGUGGCCAGGCCGCCGCGGCCGGUGGCGCGCACCUCGGCGCCCAAGGCCCUCAGCCGCGUAGUCUCCUCGGGUGUCAGGCCACCGCGUAGCCCGCCCGUGUAUACGGGCCCCGCUGGCUCGCAGACCAAGAGCACACCCGCUUUGGUCCCCGACAGGGUCCCAGGGCGAGGGUCUGCCUGUAGCCGCCGUAGCCAAUGCUCCUGCAACGCCAGCAGCUCCGAGUAGUGCACCCGACCAAGCCAAACGAGCCGGACCACAGGCAGCGACAUCGCGCGGGAGGCGGCGUGCGUGGGCCACGCCUUCUGGCGGGUCUCGGGGCGGGGACUCUGGGCCACGCCCCUGAGCUUCAGCCCGAGUGGAGCUUCAGUUCCCGCCUACCUGUGUGACCCGAAGUCCAGGCAGGAUUGGUCUUAACCACCCAUUCAUUCCAAUAAUCAUUUUUUAGUAUGUUCUGUGUUCUGCAGGAACUUGGACCGUGCAGUGUAGAGUAUUUGAGAAACGAAGAUCCAACCCUGGAAGCUUAGGUGUUCACAGCUGACAAGCUAAUAUUAAAGUUUUUUUUUUUGACAAUAUUCAGAAAUUGUCUUUCUGUUUCACCAUGUAAAUUCUUUUUUUUAAUUUAAUUAAUUUAUUUAUUACGUAUUUUCCUCAAUGAUGGAAAGAAAAACAGAAUUCAGUAAUAUGUUGAGUUCCUCGAAAACUGAAAGGGAGACUAGUGUGCAAAGAGGUUUAUUGUGGAUCGGUGUGGGACGUAGCAGGUACUUCAAGAUAUAUAAGACUUGAAAGAAACAGGAUUAGGCAGAAGCUGUAGUUGAGCAGAGAAAUAGUUGCAUUAGAUUCUUUCCUUAGCUAUCCCCCAGGAAUGCUCCGAGUCUGGCCUGACCCAUUAGAAUUAUUCUAGAUUAAAGCAAAUGGGACAUCCUACAUAGAUGGGUCACAAAAACAAGCUACUCCUGGGAAGGCACCGUUACCUUUGUAGGAGUUGCUUCCAUUAUGAAGCCCUGAUCUCUGAAGGGAGCUCCAGCUUGAGUCAUCAUACAACCCAGUCCCAGAAGCCGAGGGAAGGACAGGGGACGGGAAGCCAGAAUAUCAAGAUUAAUUGUGAUUAAUUGGCCCAGAAACCCUUCCUGACCUGAGCUUUAUACAACAGAGAAUGUGCCAGAAAAGUCCCCAGAACUACAAUUUGGAGAGAUAUCGGCCUAAAGCCUGAGCCUACAUCGUUGCACUGUGGACUUUCUCACUCUCUGAACCCCUCCACCUCUGCCAUGCAGGUUCUCCCCUCCCUCCUCCAUCACAGAAGAUCCUCCUGCCUCUGCCUCCUACGUGCUGGGAUGGACUUUGACUGUUAAUAGCUCCAGUAACACUGAGUGUGGGUGGGCCAGGAAGCAGAAAGAGGAAGAACAGAAUACCAACCAGAGUGAGGCUCAAUGCCAAGAAUUAAUAAGGCGGACAGACUGGCAUGGGCAAACAUAUAUAAUAGCAGGUUUCAGAGCGGAUGACAAAAGUUAUUGUGAGUCAUCAACAUGGGGAUGUGGUUUAAAAAAUAAACAUUGAGAUAGCUCCAGGCUCUGGGAGAAGAAGAGACAUUGGGAAACCCUGUUCCAGAGCACCUAAAUCUUAUUAAUAAUUCCGUGUAGGGUGGGGAAAGUAACUGCAGCGAUUUGGUUCCUGCACAAGAUGAACUCAGUGUUCCUGCUGAAUACUUGUCCUGGUGUGAAGCAGAAUAAGGAGGAAAGCCAGGGAUCUGGGUACAUCUUCUGUUCCGUCACUGUGUGUUUGCACUCCUAUGGGGUAGGUGAUACACAGUUUGAUUCUUGGGUCCUCAUCUCCUCUAACUAGUGUCUGACACCUAUAGGGCCUUAGUAGAUAUUUGCAGAAUGAAAGAACAACCGUUUAAAUCAUUUGUUGUGGGUGUCAUUGAACUGAGACCCUUCACCAAGGCCAUGUGGCAGCCUCCAAGCCCCUAAAAUGAUCCCAAAUUUUCAGGACCUAAGGAGGUCAUUGUUGUAAAAGGUGUUUACUCGUAGCAUGCUGAAUCCAAUCUACACCCGCCAGGCUCAGCCUAGAGUCUCCCUCCCCACCCUGCCCCCCUCUUAUUUCCCUCAACACUACAUCUGAACCUCUGCUGACUCUAAUCUACCUCGGUUAUCCUGGAUUAGACUCAUUACCUGCCCCUUGCCAGUCCCAUGGCUCUAGAGCACAGAUAAUAGUUACCACUUAGAUAAUAUUUGUCAUGUGUUAGACACUCUAAAAAAUUUAAAAUCAUCAAUGCAUCUACUGUCUGUCAUGAGAAUGCUAUGUUAGAAAUAUAGUUGGAUACAUUUACUCUUUCUUUUUUAUUGGGUAUUUAUUUCAUUUAUAUUUCCAAUGCUAUCCCAAAAGCCCCCCACACGCUCCCCCACCCACUCCCCUACCCACCCCACUCCCACUUCUUGGCCCUGGCGUUCCCCUGUACUGAGGCAUAUAAAGUUUGCACGACCAAUGGGCCUCUCUUUCCACUGAUGGCUGACUAGGCCAUCUUCUGAUUCAUAUGCAGCUAGAGACACGAGCUGGGGGGGAGGGGGUAAUUGGCUAGUUCAUAUUGUUGUUCCACCUAUAGGAUUGCAGAUCCCUUCAGCUCCUUGGGUACUUUCUCUAGCUCCUCCUUUGGGGGCCCUGUGAUCCAUCCAAUAGCUGACUGUGAGCAUCCACUUCUGUGUUUGCCAGGCCCCGGCAUAGUCUCACAAGAGACAGCCAUAUAUGGGUCCUUUCAGCAAAAUCUUGCUAGUGUAUGCAAUGGUGUCAGCGUUUGGAAGCUGAUUAUAGGAUGGAUCCCCGGAUAUGGCAGUCUCUAGAUGGUCAAUCCUUUCGUCUCAGCUCCAAACUUUGUCUCUGUAACUCCUUCCAUGGGUGUAUUGUUCCCAAUUCUAAGAAGGGGCAAAGUGUCCACACUUUGGUCUUCAUUCUUCUUGAGUUUCAUGCGUUUAGCAAAUUUUAUCUUAUAUCUUGGGUAUUCUAAAUUUCUGGACUAAUAUCCACUUAUCAGUGAGUACAUAUUGUGGGAGUUCUUUUAUGAUUGGGUUACCUCACUCAGGAUGAUACCCUCCAGGUCCAUCCAUUUGCCUAGGAAUUUCAUAAAUUCAUUCUUUUUAAUAGCUGAGUAGUACUCCAUUGUGUAAAUGUACCACAUUUUCUGUAUCCAUUCCUCUGUUGAGGGGCAUCUGGGUUCUUUCCAGCUUCUGGCUAUUACAUUUACUCUUUCUACAUGUGAGAAUUUAUUUAAUAACAAUAAAUUCAUAAGCUACA